rnacentral:lncRNA from 1 species
UAAAAGCUUUUUUGUAGUAGUGUCGUAUAAUAUGUUCACUAUUUUUUGCCUGUUUUUUUAAACACAUUGCUGAUCUUAAUUUCUCACUUGUCGAGGACCAAUUAACCAAAAAAACUAAAGAAGAGGAGGCACACCAAAGAAUCUAGAAGCAAUGUAGUGGAGCAUUUUAGCUUUAGAGGAUGAUGUGCCAACGUCCUCUAUUUCUUUUCCACCAUGGUUAGCAAAUUUAUACUUGUUUUUUCAGGAAUCUGGAGAGGCGUGAGCCUCUGCAGUAAAAUUAAAUUAACAUUAGUAUCAGUCAAGUUAAAAUUACAGAACGAAAUUCAAGAAACAAAAAAAAGAUUUCCGCAAAAAAAGGAAAAGAAACAAAAAAGGGGAAAAAAGGAGGGGAGAAAAACACAGUAAGGAGGGAAAUCUAUACGGUUCUAAAUAUGGCAUGCAAACACUUUAAAGUAUAGGAUUACAUACCUGUUUGGCACAAUAUGUCGUGCAAAUCUAAAGGCA